AGGCAGCAGUGGGGAAUAUUGCACAAUGGGCGCAAGCCUGAUGCAGCAACGCCGCGUGAGGGACGAAGGCCUUCGGGUUGUAAACCUCUUUUAGUAGGGAAGAAGCGAAAGUGACGGUACCUGCAGAAAAAGCACCGGCUAACUACGUGCCAGCAGCCGCGGUAAUACGUAGGGUGCAAGCGUUAUCCGGAAUUAUUGGGCGUAAAGAGCUCGUAGGCGGUUUGUCGCGUCUGCUGUGAAAACUGGAGGCUCAACCUCCAGCCUGCAGUGGGUACGGGCAGACUAGAGUGCGGUAGGGGAGAUUGGAAUUCCUGGUGUAGCGGUGGAAUGCGCAGAUAUCAGGAGGAACACCGAUGGCGAAGGCAGAUCUCUGGGCCGUAACUGACGCUGAGGAGCGAAAGCAUGGGGAGCGAACAGGAUUAGAUACCCUGGUAGUCCAUGCCGUAAACGUUGGGAACUAGAUGUAGGGACCAUUCCACGGUUUCUGUGUCGCAGCUAACGCAUUAAGUUCCCCGCCUGGGGAGUACGGCCGCAAGGCUAAAACUCAAAGGAAUUGACGGGGGCCCGCACAAGCGGCGGAGCAUGCGGAUUAAUUCGAUGCAACGCGAAGAACCUUACCAAGGCUUGACAUAUACGAGAACGGGCCAGAA
rnacentral:rRNA from 1 species